rnacentral:lncRNA from 1 species
GUGGCUAUUUAUGUGAACCGAGGACAGGCGAAAACAUUCAUUUGUCGGCGGUUUAAGUGCUGGGUGGGAAUGGGGCUCCAAGUAUAGAAAGGACGCAGGUAGCAUCUGUCCUGGGGGCUGUGCAAGGUAGGGAGGGGCCUGGGUGUGUAAUUAUCCCUGCUGCUCCUGAAGAGAGGGAAGGCUGCUAUGGAAAGUGACACCUAAUGACUGUUUUCAGCACAGAGGGUAAAGGGAAAGGCUGGUGUUUAAGGCCAUAGCCUGAGAUGGAGCCUUGCACCUGCCAGGUGAAUAGGGUUACUUCUGGGCCUUGGCAGGGUCCGCCUUGUUCCUGUCCCAGCAGAUCUGGGGCAAAGGAAGUGUGACCAAAGUUCCCAGGGGUCUGCAGAUACAGUGAGGGCCAGAGGCUGGAAGGCCUGGGUGCUGUCUCUUCUCCCUGUCCUCCAGCCCCAGAGGAGCCACGGUUAGCCAGGAAUGUUAACAAAGAGGAGACAGCACUGGCUAAACAGAGGCUCCAAGACAAUUCCUGGCCCAAACAAAGCUCCCAGGCCCCCACCCUCAUAAGAAAACAAGCCAGGCCUUUGUACACACUCAAUAAUUACUGCGCGCAAUUACCCUAGUCGGAGCUGUGCUGGGGUAGCAGGCAGGUUGAGGGGUGUAGUUGGAAACCCUAACCUCCCUCAGUGGGAUUGAGGGGCACAGUACCUGCCCAGGACCUGGAGCCCAUUCUCUGGAAUGCCACUUGCCUGGGAGCCACUAGCCAGAGGGACCCCAAAGAUCUUAGGUGGCCGGCUCAUGAUGUCCCAGUAGUAAUGUGUUGUCUGGGACAUCUCAGACAAAAUCCCUGAAGCUCUCUGCACCAGUGGCCUUUUGCUCCCAUGUACAGGAUUGCUGGGUGCUGAGGUAUUGUUCUCCUAUGUGCUUGAUCAUCUCUGAAGCCUGCUACGUCCUCCCCGCUGCUUCUGAACCCUUAAUGCCCUGCUUCCCAUUUUCCUGCUCCUGUGGGUCUUCCAAACAACACCAGAGUUGUAUCUAAACUCCUGAUACUCCCAGUAUUCUUGCUUCAAACCCCCUUUAUCUCACUCUCCUAGGUACCUGACUCACAUCCCAUUGUGUGCCCUCUUCUCCUCCAGGAAGCCUUCAGUCUUGCUCCACCAGGGGCUUGUUGGUCCUUGGCACUGGACCUGUUUUAUGGAUGAGAACAUGUAUGUGUGCACAUCAUAUACACACCAAUGUGAUUCUAACACUCAGUUCUGAAUUUGAUAGUGACAGUGAUCGUUGUGGUAUUAGCUACGCCUCCAUUUACUGGAUGCUUGAAAUUCACUAUGCAGAUUGCUAAGCCGCUUCCCGCACAUUUAAUCACGCCAUCAUCUUAGGAGGUAGAUGCCGUUUCCUAUUCCUGUUUUAUAUUGGAGAACUUGCUGCACAGAGAAGUUGAGUAACUGGUUCAAAGUCACCGUGCAUCAUGGCAGCGAUGUAGUAAUGUAGUGGGUGUUACUUGGAAGUCCGGUGUAACAGCCUGUGGGGGCUGCACAGUAAAUUCUGUGUUUCCCCAAGUCCAGAGUCUGCCUUUGAAGUGUCUUGAAAAUCCAGCUUUAUGUGGCAAUCUUCACACCAUAGAAAUCAGCAAGCAUUAUAAAUAAAACAUUCCCUCCCCUAUCCCAGAAAGCUGGCUUUUAACCACUGACGGGCACAAGGCAAAUGCCCUCAACCUGCCUUGUCCCAUAGCGCAUGACCCUCCGUUGUGGGUUUUGUAUUUCUCCAGUGGUCCUCCACAGCCACAGUGCCUGGAGCAGAGGAGGUGAGGCUGCACUCUGUCCACUCAUGACAGUGAGGAUUUGCUGUACUGUACUCCAUUUGAUGGUUCUGUGACAGAGUCCUGGCAUCUGCCCAUACUGCCCCUGACUGGAAAUUCUCUUGCUCCAGCUCCCUAAGUGCUGGGAUUAUAUGUGUGUGGCACCAAGCUGGGAUGAACGCAGGAGUUUAUGUCUUCACUAUUAGGGACAGGGUGGGAUCUUGGCUGAGGCCAUUUACUUAGGUUGGGAUGGAACAUAAAACCAGCAUGGCCCAGAUCCCUGCUAUGCAGGAGACUGGAGCUCUCUUUAGCCUUGUGGAUUAGGGUCCCUUAGGCCAGACUCUACCAAAGGCCUCUCACCACUGCCCAGUGGCCAGACAGAACUUAGAACUACAAACAGACCAAUUAGAAGCUGACUUCUUGGUUUCAAAGAUGCCGAGAAAAACCAUGGAUAAUAAUGUUAGCAGGAGUCAAAGUUAGACCUUUGCUGAGGGCGCAGCAUGGCCGGCCCUAGAAUGGCUAGCUUGGGAAGCUAUUUUGAUCUUCUUUGACUGGUGGCUUAGAGCAAUUUUCUGGGCACCCAUGGGCCAGAGGGGCCAGGAGACUCUUGCCACCAGCAGCUGCCUUUUUACACCAGGAUAAUGAUGGCUUCUGGGUGAGAGAGAUCAAUAGGGGCUAAAAAUACGUUUCCGUCCCAUCUGGAUGUGGCUCUGGGCAUCUCGCUGACUCAGAGGCCUCUGUGAGUGGUGGAAGUGUAAACCAUCUCACAGUACAGAUCCUGCAGACCACCUCCUGUCUCCUCAGGGUUGCGAGCCCUAAGAUUGCACUGGGGAAACCAACAAGGUGCUUACAGGUAUCUUGGACCAGGUCCCUCAGCUGUUGGCAGAGUAGAAAUGAGGACCCGUGAGAAAAGAGAGGCAAAUUGGGUUCCCCUAAUCGCUCCAUGCUAGCCCAGAGCUGGACAGUGUGAAUAUGGGGGGCAGGCAGACAUAGGUUUAUCGACCGUCUGAAAGCUCACUGUCAAGGUGCAGACAGAUAGUUCUUUACCCAGGCCAGCAAAGCAAACAGCCCCAAGCAGGAUCUUUUCUACCUCCUCACCCAGGCACAGGUGCCCCGAGAGGCUGCAUCUCACUCAGUACCUGAGGUGUCUCCAUGAGAUCACUGCUGGAUGGUUCCCACUCUACAUAUCCCCAUUCUACAUACGAGCUGAGUGAAGCUCAAAGGCCACACUUCCAUGAUACAAAACCACAGUGAUGGAGCUGCUUUGGCCACUCAGCUUUCACGCACACGAAUGACCAGAGUUUGACAAACUUUCCUGAAGGGUCAGAGGGUAAAUACUGAGGUCUAUAGGCGAUUGGUCUUACUGCAAACACGCUACGCUGCCCCUAUAGAUUGACGGCAGCCAUGGUCCAUAUAAACGAGCAGGCAAGGUUGUACUCUAGUGAAACUUUAUUGACAAAGGAGGCAGAGGGAUGGAUUUGGCUGACGGCAGCUGACCCUUAAGAUUUCGUAUUGUGAAGUAGCCAAGGAGCUAAAGGGAUCUGCAACCCUAUAGGUGGAACAACAUUAUGAACUAACCAGUACCCCGGAGCUCUUGACUCUAGCUGCAUAUAUAUCAAAAGAUGGCCUAGUCGGCCAUCACUGGAAAGAGAGGCCCAUUGGACUUGCAAACUUUAUAUGCCCCAGUACAGGGGAACACCAGGGCCAAAAAGUGGGAGUGGGUGGGCAGGGGAGUGGGGGUGGGUGGAUAUGGGGGACUUUUGGUAUAGCAUUGGAAAUGUAAAUGAGCUAAAUACCUAAUAAAAAAUGG